AAUGACUCUCGGCAACGGAUAUCUCGGCUCUCGCAUCGAUGAAGAACGUAGCGAAAUGCGAUACUUGGUGUGAAUUGCAGAAUCCCGUGAACCAUCGAGUCUUUGAACGCAAGUUGCGCCCGAAGCCAUCAGGCCGAGGGCACGUCUGGCUGGGUGUCACGCAACG
rnacentral:rRNA from 1 species